CCCCUUCCACCGUGGCCGCCGCCCCCUAUCGCCCGACGGCGAGCCCGCCCUCCCGUCCCCCUCUCCUCUGGUCGCCCUCACGCACUACAUCGCCUCCUGGUCGUCCUCUCUGUGUGUGUGUGUAUUCCCCCCUGCCGUCACCACCACGGCCAACUCCGGCGAGGUCCGCCGCCAUACAACACAUCCACGAGCUCAUCUCGUCACACUGCUCCUUCUCCACCGCGUUGACCCGACGUGCCUCCCCCCUACGCGCGGCCCCGGCUAACCCUAGCGCCACGGUCGCCGGUCCACGGCGUCGCCAUCAACGCCCGCGCUGCGCCUGCACCUCCGGUUGGUCCUCCCCGACCCCGUCCGAACUUUCGCGCACUCCAUCGCCUCCUGGUCACUGUCCAGGCGUCGCCAUCGACUGGAGGAGCGCGGGACCGUCGUCCUCGCAUUCGUGCACCUCCAGGAAGAAGACUGCUCGAGGUGAGGCGCCUCAGAUCCGUCGUGCGAAGGUGGAGCAGCUCCAGAGGGACGAACGUCAAGGUAGCCACUGCUCCGUAGAAGAUCUGAGUUCAAAAAGAUUGCAUGACACCACAUCCUGGGUUUGGUGGGCGAGCUCACUGUCGUCCGCCUCGAGCUGGUCCAGAGUCUGAGUACGGCCCUUGAUUUGUGCCGUCCGUUUUCUCUGCCGAAGUCGUGGUUGCGUGGACGCGGCUAUGGUCGAAGGGUCUCACCAGCGUGGCACCGGCGCCUCCCUUCCCUCUCCCCUGGAGCUGGAAGGUACUGUCUCGGGCUUCCCAAAUCUGUUGGAUCAAAAAUUGCGGGUGAUGGAAUCAAAUUUUGUUGGAUCAGAAAUUGCAGUUGAUGGAAUUAAAACUUGGAUGUGAUCAAAUUAGAGAGGACCAUGGCGUACUGAUUACUGAAAGGAAUUUGUGAGUUCCUGCAAGAUGCAUCUCUAGCAUUUCUUGUGCAGAGGCUUACAAACUUGUGAUUCCUCAUGACUCGGAAGGAGGAGCGCGGGCCAUAGCUACGGAAGAGGAGGUUGAGACAGCCGGCGCCUGCGCGGCUCAUUCAUCUUAAUUUAAUAUAUGCCAGUGGAGAAAUAUAUACUUUAAACCCGGUUUGAGCUGGCUCUGGCUCUAAAGUGUACUUUAUUUCUGAAGCAUUUAUCAUUUUGGAGAUGUCAAGUUCUACUGGCCAUUCCACUUAAUUAUCCUAUCCCAGGAUCCGUGAAGGAGGCCAUUAACAAAUUAAGGGAGAACAAUGUAAAGGCCUUUGUGUUGGAUCUGCGGAAUAACAGCGGUGUCCUUUUUCCUGUCGGCCGCAGAGAUGGUAGAGGUCUCCUCCGCUCACUCUCUCGCCAC
rnacentral:rRNA from 1 species